ACGAAUCGUCGGCUUCAAAAUUGAAACGAAGUCGUAACUCAUCCUUGUUCGAAAUCGCAAGAGACAAUGUUAGUGGAUUUGGUUGGGGUUAGAUGGCCUGCGAUGACGUUGCCAAAAUUGAAUAAUUCGAUGUCUUUGGUUGGAUGACACCGGAUUCAUCGAGCGCCAGAACAAGAUUAUUACGGGACACUACAUCUUCAGAAUCAUUGGCGCGAAUGAACUCUCUAAAUUCGUUCUGCGUAGUUGUUAGUAAAAUUGAAGGGAAGAUAUCAAGGAACACUACUGCUGGCCGGUUCUACCGAUUCUCAUGCAAAGUUAUAGAGAGAGUGUGUUUCAAUGACUUUUAUUUCCUCCUCGGUUAAAUUUAUUUCAAUUUUUUUUGAAGUGGUGCACAAUAAAAAUGUUUGGCCGUUUAGGCGAUGCACAGGCAUCAAAAAAUAUCCAGGGGAGGAGAAAUCAAACCAUGAACAAAGUGUAUAUCUGCUCGGGUGAAGGGGACCAAAAAAAAAAAUCAUCCACUCAUAAAUGCCAAGGAGGAGGUUAAAGAUUUUAUUGCA